UGAAUGCCAUGCAAUACAACGUUGGCCAUUCUUCUUCUUAGCAUGAUAAAGCCCAUGCAUGCUCUCCUCCUAUUUAUUUUCCACGUGAAUGUUGGGCCAUUCAAUAUCCUUGGCCAAAAGCCCAUGCAAUCCUUCAUAAUGAGUUGCAGUAAUGACAUGAAACUUAUGUUUUCCUUAUAUACAUACAAUUUGAACCAUUCCCUCCCCCUUUAAAAACGCUGCAAUCACGUUUUUUUAUUUCUCAAACCUAAAUAUUUCAUUCUUUUAAACAAAAACUCAGCCUCCAUCUCCCUUAGCAAAACUGAAAUCUCAUCAACCAUUCAUCCUCUCUUUCACUUGAAUUUGCAUUAAUCUGAGUUUUCUUUCAAUGGUUCCUCAUUAUUCAUCGAUCUCUUGAAUCCUAACGCUUCGAAAUCAUAUACGACCCGUCGACUGCUCGUGCUUCGGAGUCUACGCAGGGUUAGCUGUUUGCCAAGAUCACGUGGAUAAGCAAGCAGUUUAUGAUUUGAAAGCUGGUCCACUCCGAUUCUUUUGAUUCCUCGGAGGUUUUUAUGUUAUUAAACUAGUUUCUGUUUUCGAACUCUUAGACCGCAGUAAAACUAGUUUAUUUAUUUCAUUUGAUAUUACACUUUGGAAUUGUCGAUAUAUUCGAUUAUUAAUAUUUGGCAUGAUUACUCUGCAUUACGACAUUGUUAUAUUUAAGGCAUGCAGUGGAAUAUUUAAGAUAUUUAAGUUAUUUAUAUUAGAAUUGUAAUAUAAAUUGCUAGACCUAGGUUGGAGUCUCGGUUGCCCCCGAGCAGUUUUCUGCAGGUUUAAAUGCUUAAUUGAUUUCCGCAAGGCUUGCUACGGAUUUUGGUACAACCAUACCCAUACCCUAGCGCCGGUCACGAUUCAUGAAAUUGGGUCGUGACAAAGUUGGUAUCAGAGCUUUAGUUUCGAACUAAGGCCAAAUUUUUUGCAUGUUAUGUGUUUAUUGCUUUAAGGCAUGAUAAGUGUUACGGUUGUAUCAUAGGAUCUACUGCGGAAUUAGGAUUCAAAUUUUUUCUUUUAAAAUGUCAUCUUUUGUUUUCAAAACUUUCUACCUUCAUCUUUAGGGAUGUUUGAGUCGGUCUUAUGUGUUACUAAUGUUUUAUUUGCGAAAUUUUUGCUUUACUCUGGAAUGUUAGUGUUAUUACUCUGGAUAAAUUGUUGAUUUGUGAACUAUUAAAUUAUACUCUGGGUGUUGCCAUUUGGGCAUUGUUUGAGAUUUGUUGUUUCAUUCUUAGGAAUGAACACUCGUGGGCGUGCUGCAGCUCAGG